AUCCAUUACACAUACACAAUACAACCCUUACACAUAAAGACAAUGCAUCAUUUGCACACAUACAUAGAAACAAACAAUGCAUCCUUUACACACACAUGCAAACACAUACUGCUUCUUUUACAUACACACAGAAACACAAUGCAUUUCUUACAAACACUCAAUGCACCCCUUACAUACACAGAAACACACCUUGCAUCCCUUAUGCAUACAAACACAGAUUCACACAAUGCAUCCCGUACACACAAACAGAAACACACAAUACAUCCCUUAUACACAAACACACUGGGGACUACACUACUUUUCUGGGAAGGGACAUUUUAGUCAGGUCAGUGGGGGGCGUGGCAAGGGCACUAUAUUCAGGGACGAAUCUGAG